UGGCCUUGAGUAGUCGCCUCGUGUGGAUCUUCAGCAUUUCUCGGGGCCUUUAGGUCCUGGGCGGGGUGCUCUUUAGCGCCGCAACACAGGUAACUGUCAUCACUAUCGGCCACUAGUGCAACUUUUACAAUGGGGGGGUUGGUGUUGGGAAGGAAUCUCGCAGCCGGGUUGUUUGCUACCGAGUUGUGCUUGCGGUUGGCGGCUUAGCUACUGUAACGCAACACGGUAGGAGUGAGCAAUGAAUUCGCAUGGUGACUGGCCGAUGUUUUACCUAAAGUGCGAAAAAAGCUUUGCCGUGGUCCGAGAAGGUGACCGCAGAUGCUGUGUAGCCGAAAUGGCCACUCAGUACUGCAGCGACCCUUGGGUCACAAUGCGGUAAAUAAACAUAUCUGUCAAUUUGAAUUCCUUAGGUAGAUUCAUUAAAGUGGGUUAUCUUCCGCGCUCCGCGCUUGUGCACACAGUGUCAAGUAACAGAUGGACACAUGCAUACCUACAUACCUACAUGCAUACACGGAGACCAGAGCUGCAUGAUGGAAUGACGGAAUGGGCGGUCAGAUUGGGCGCUGGGAUUAGGACAGUCCGAAGCGUAAAACACCUAGGUGCCACGCUGGCGGAAGUUUGGUAGCAUGGGCUGCGGUUUGUUGCCGUCCUUACUCCUAAAUAAACAACCCUGUAUUAUCCGAGCUUUGCCUUGCCUUCCGAUUUGGAUGAAUCGCCCAUGUUCAUUCGCAUCCGUUGCACGACGUUCUACGACACCUCAAGCCUCCUGUCCCUGCCGUCAUCCUUGCGUGUGUGUCUGUGUGUGUGUGUCUGUGUGUGUCUGUGUGUGUGUCUGUGUGUGUCUGUGUGUGUCUGUGUGUGUGUCUGUGUGUGUGUCUGUGUGUGUGUGUCUGUGUGUGUGUCUGUGUGUGUGUCUGUGUGUGUCUGUGUGUGUCUGUGUGUGUCUGUGUGUGUCUGUGUGUGUCUGUGUGUGUCUGUGUGUGUCUGUGUGUGUCUGUGUGUGUUUGUGUGUGUCUGUGUGUGUCUGUGUGUGUCUGUGUGUGUCUGUGUGUGUCUGUGUGUGUCUGUGUGUGUCUGUGUGUGUCUGUGUGUGUCUGUGUGUGUCUGUGUGUGUCUGUGUGUGUGUCUGUGUGUGUGUCUGUGUGUGUCUGUGUGUGUGUCUGUGUGUGUGUCUGUGUGUGUGUCUGUGUGUGUCUGUGUGUGUGUCUGUGUGUGUGUCUGUGUGUGUGUGUCUGUGUGUGUCUGUGUGUGUGUCUGUGUGUGUGUGUCUCUGUGUGUGUCUGUGUGUGUGUCUGUGUGUGUCUGUGUGUGUGUCUGUGUGUGUGUGUCCUGUUACACGUCGACCCGGGCCUGACGCUGGAGCCACAGUCCCCUCCUGCUCGACCGAGGGCGCGCAACCCUGUGUCUCAACAUCGUGUAAUCGAUGAUGAAAGAGCGCACGAUGGCAACAAGGCCCUCUCACAACCAACCUCAGCACGCGCUGUGGCGCAGUUCCGCCCAGGCAGCCUGCACCAUUUGCCUGGGUCCUUGCAUCACCGGACGGUCUUUCCCUUGAGGGGCAGCCUUGUCGGUGCCUUGAGCCCAGAAGCAGAACCCUACUAACGUGGCUGCCAUCGCUGCGACCCUGAGAACACGUUUCGGCAGACCCAGGCCACGCAAAGGUCGCUGGCCGUAACCGGCCUCACUCUAACUGAGGCUGGUCAGGCAAACCUCUCUAGGAGGUUAGUUCACCCCGGGGGCCCCUAUACGCGGCAGGCGGGCGGGGCAAGGUGUCAAGGCGGUGGCAAUCUCGCCAUGCAAAGGAUGUAGCCUCAAUCCUCUCGGGAAUCAGAAAUAUCCUACCCGAUGUCUGUUUGGUCCAUCGCAUUAAGAUAUAUAAGCGCAUCGCCAACGCGUCCUUGCAUUCAGAUGUAACCGUUAGGCUGGCUGGUCCUGGUCCGUGGGUCCGCCAAUCUUUUUCCCUCCCCAGUAACGUAUAUAAAAUCCAUCGAGGAAGCUAUCCCUAUUUUACUUGUUCGAUUACACUGUUGCAAUUCAGAUUGGGCUGUCAAUCAACAACAUUGAAUGGCCAGGGCCACCACGGACAUCGCGCAACCUCACAAAUGAAAAGUUUUAAGUUGAUUCACGCAUCAUCUAAAUGACAUUGAAUCCGGCGGGUGCCAACAGGUAACCGUGAAUGCGGGCUGUCCGCUUGUCGCACCGACCGGCAACGGUAUACCCGCCGAGAACGGUGAAUGCCAAAGUUAGUUGAUUCUUGUCUGACUUCUGGUC
rnacentral:lncRNA from 1 species